GACGAACGCUGGCGGCGUGCUUAACACAUGCAAGUCGAACGCAGUGGCGAACGGGUGAGUAACGCGUAAUCAACCUGCCCUACCGAGGGGGAUAACAGUGGGAAACGACUUCUAAUACCGCAUACUGAGGGAGGUGAUUGCGUCUGAUUAGCUAGUUGGAGGGGUAACGGCCCACCAAGGCGAUGAUAAGUCGCCGGUUUGAGAGAAUGAACGGCCACAUUGUGACUGAGACACGUCCCAGACUCCUACGGGAGGCAGCAGUGGGGAAUCUUCCGCAAUGGACGAAAGUCUGACGGAGCAACGCCGCGUGAGUGAUGACGGCCUUCGGGUUGUAAAGCUCUGUUAAUCGGGACGCGGUACCGGAAUAGAAAGCCACGGCUAACUACGUGCCAGCAGCCGCGGUAAUAC
rnacentral:rRNA from 1 species